rnacentral:rRNA from 1 species
GAUGAACGCUGGCGGCGUGCCUAAUACAUGCAAGUCGAGCGAACAGAUAAGGAGCUUGCUCCUUUGACGUUAGCGGCGGACGGGUGAGUAACACGUGGGUAACCUACCUAUAAGACUGGGAUAACUUCGGGAAACCGGAGCUAAUACCGGAUAAUAUUUCGAACCGCAUGGUUCGAUAGUGAAAGAUGGUUUUGCUAUCACUUAUAGAUGGACCCGCGCCGUAUUAGCUAGUUGGUAAGGUAACGGCUUACCAAGGCGACGAUACGUAGCCGACCUGAGAGGGUGAUCGGCCACACUGGAACUGAGACACGAUCCAGACUCCUACGGGAGGCAGCAGUAGGGAAUCUUCCGCAAUGGGCGAAAGCCUGACGGAGCAACGCCGCGUGAGUGAUGAAGGUCUUCGGAUCGUAAAACUCUGUUAUUAGGGAAGAACAUACGUGUAAGUAACUGUGCACGUCUUGACGGUACCUAAUCAGAAAGCCACGGCUAACUACGUG